rnacentral:rRNA from 1 species
CUACGGGAGGCAGCAGUGGGGAAUAUUGCACAAUGGGCGAAAGCCUGAUGCAGCAACGCCGCGUGAGCGAUGAAGGUCUUCGGAUCGUAAAGCUCUGUCCUCAAGGAAGAAUUUUGACGGUACUUGAGGAGGAAGCCCCGGCUAACUACGUGCCAGCAGCCGCGGUAAUACGUAGGGGGCUAGCGUUAUCCGGAAUUAUUGGGCGUAAAGGGUGCGUAGGCGGUCCUACAAGUCAGAGGUGAAAGGCUACGGCUCAACCGUAGUAAGCCUUUGAAACUGUAGGACUUGAGUGCAGGAGAGGAGAGUGGAAUUCCCAGUGUAGCGGUGAAAUGCGUAGAUAUUGGGAGGAACACCAGUUGCGAAGGCGGCUCUCUGGACUGUAACUGACGCUGAGGCACGAAAGCGUGGGGAGCGAACAGGAUUAGAUACCCCGGUAG